rnacentral:rRNA from 1 species
AUGAGCCGCCGUUCCUCGCCAGCGUCGGCGCCCCCGCUGGAUGACGAGGACCUCCUGGAGGAGAUCCUGCUCCGCCUGCCUCCUAAGCCGUCGUCCCUCCACCGCGCCUCCCUCGUCUGCAAGCGCUGGCGUGGCAUCCUCGCCGACCGCCGAUUCGUCCAACGCUUCCGCAAGCACCACCGGAAGCCUCCUCUGUUGGGCUACUUCGACAGAAAAUAUGAAGGGGCCGGCUUCACUGGGAUGUCAGGGUUCACCCCCAGUAUGAGCUCUAUCCCUCGUCUUCGCCACCUCAACCUCGUCGACUGCCACCAUGGUGUUGCCCUUUUUCUUGAUGAUGCGCUCGGCGAGAUCCUCGUGUGGAACCCUAUCGCCGGCGUCCAGCGCCACGUGGCUUUUCCACCUUGGCUCAACAAUCGCUGUGAUUGCGUGGUCGAGACAGCCACGGUGCUCUGCUCCGCCUCCGCCGAACUCCCGGUGCAUGGUGAUUGCCAUUUGAGCGCAUUUACACUAGUAUUGGUUGGGGACUAUCCUAACCAAGCAAAGGCAUUCACAUGUCUCUAUGAAUCCAAGUCUGACACAUGGGGAAAAGUUAUCACAACAGCGUCUCGAUAUGCGGUUUACAUGGACAGGCCCGGCGUCCUAGUUGGAAAUACACUUUGCUGGUUGCUUUACAGCGCAGACCUCCUUCAGUUUGAUUUGGGAAAUCAGAAGUUUGUUGUGAUUGAGAAGCCAGCAGACGCAUAUGCUCAUGUCAACUGUUGGUAUUUUCAGCCCUUGCGAAGAGAGGACGGCGGCCUUGGCCUGGCUGUUUGCUCAAAAAACCUAAGCAUGCAACUAUGGGCGAGGAAAUCCAACUGCGAUGACAUUGUGCCAUGGGUGCUAGAGAAAACAAUUCAGCUGGACGAUCAAAUUUCACAUCCCUUAUUUCCGAGCUUAACAAGAUCGGUUGGGAUGAUGGGGUAUGACGAGAACACAAAUGUGAUCUUCCUAUGUUUUGAAAAUCGUCAUCACUUCAUGCUCCACCUUGACUCGAUGCAGUUCAGAUAUAUUGGUACAAAAACGAACUGGGAUUAUAAAAUGUGUUAUCCAUAUAGAAGUUUCUAUACUGAAGAGGGGCCACAAUAA